UCCCCUGUGCUCUGUCGGUUGGGCAACCGGACUUUGAAUCCGGCCUACGCAGGUUCGAGCCCUGCCAGGGGAGC
rnacentral:tRNA from 2 species